rnacentral:misc_RNA from 1 species
CCUUGGUAUGGAAACCCACUGAGUGAUAACUUUCAAAUUCAGAGAAACCCUGGAAUUAAUAAAAGGGGGCAAUCCUGAGCCAAAUCCUAUUUUCCGAAAACAAAGGUUUAGAAAGUGAAAAAGGGGAUAGGUGCAGAGACUCAACGGAAGCUGUUCUAACAAAUGGAGUUGGCUGCGGUAGUAGAGAAAUCUUUCCAUCCAAAAUUCAGAUAGUAUUAAGGAUGAAGUGAAGGAUAAACGUAUAUACAUAACGUAUUGAAUACUAUUUUAAAUGAUUAAAUAAGUAAUGACCGCCCGAAUGAAUCUAUAUUUUUUCUAUGAAAAACGAAAGAAUUGGUGUGAAUAGAUUCUACGUUGAAGAAAGAAUCGAAUAUUCAUUGAUCAACUGAUUCACUCCAUAGUCUGAUAGAUCUUUUCAAGAACUGAUUAAUCUUAAUCGGACGAGAAUAAAGAUAGAGUCCCAUUCUACAUGUCAAUGCCGGCAACAAUGAAAUUUAUAGUUAAGAGGAAAAUCCGUCGACUUUUAAAAUCAUGAGGGUUCAAGUCCCUCUAUCCCCAAAAAGACUAUUUGACUUCCCAACUAUUUCCUCUUUUUGUUAGCGGUUCAAAAUUCCUUAUCCAUUCACCCUAUUCUCUUAGAAUUGAUCCGGGUGGAAAUGCCCUUAUUCUUAUCACAUCUAUAUGAUAUACAUACAAAUCAUACAAAUUAACAUCUUUGAGCAAGAAAUCCCCAUUUGAAUGAUUUACAAUCUAUCUAAUUACUCAUACUGAAACUUCCAAAGUCCUCUUUUUUAAGAUCCAAGCAAUUUCAGUACCUAAGUAAAACUUUGGAAUCCCCUUUCCUUCUUUUAUUUGACAUAGACCCCAUUUUCUAAUAAAAUGAAGAUGCUACAUUGGGACUGGUCGGGAUAGCUCAGCUGGUAGAGCAGAGGACUGAAAAUCCUCGUGUC